CAGCAGCCGCGGUAAUACCGGCGGCCCGAGUGGCGGUCACUAUUAUUGGGCUUAAAGCGUCCGUAGCCGGGUUGGGAAGUCCUCCGGGAAAUCUGGCCGCUUAAAGGUCAGAAUGCCGGAGGAUACUCCCAGCCUAGGGAGCGGGAGAGGCCGAGGGUAUUCCCGGAGUAGGGGGGAAAUCCUAUAAUCCCGGGAGGACCACCUGUGGCGAAGGCGCUCGGCUGGAACGCGUCCGACGGCGAGGGACGAAGGCCAGGGGAGCAAACCGGAUUAGAUACCCGGGUAGUCCUGGCUGUAAACGAUGCGGACUUUGUGUCGGACAAGCUAUGAGCUUGUCCGGUGCCGGAGGGAAACCGUUAAGUCCGCCGCCUGGGGAGUACGGCCGCAAGGCUGAAACUUAAAGGAAUUGGCGGG
rnacentral:rRNA from 1 species